rnacentral:rRNA from 1 species
UCGCAUCCUGGGGCGGUAGUACGUCCCAAGGGUUGGGCUGUUCGCCCAUGAAAGCGGUACGCGAGCUGGGUUCAGAACGUCGUGAGACAGUUCGGUCCAUAUCCGGUGUAGGCGUUAGAAUAUUGAGAGGAGCCUUCUUUAGUACGAGAGGACCGAGAAGGACAUACCUCUGGUGUA